UACUUGAUCUCAGCCACCCCACUA
rnacentral:tRNA from 1 species